ACCCGCACAAGCGGUGGAUGAUGUGGUUUAAUUCGAUGCAACGCGAAAACCUUACCCACUUUGACAUGUACGGAAUCCUUUAGAGAUAGAGGAGUGCUCGAAAGAGAACCGUAACACAGGUGCUGCAUGGCUGUCGUCAGCUCGUGUCGUGAGAUGUUGGGUUAAGUCCCGCAACGAGCGCAACCCUUGUCAUUAGUUGCUACAUUCAGUUGGGCACUCUAAUGAGACUGCCGGUGACAAACCGGAGGAAGGUGGGGAUGACGUCAAGUCCUCAUGGCCCUUAUGGGUAGGGCUUCACACGUCAUACAAUGGUCGGUACAGAGGGUUGCCAACCCGCGAGGAGGAGCUAAUCCCACAAAGCCGAUCGUAGUCCGGAUCGCAGUCUGCAACUCGACUGCGUGAAGUCGGAAUCGCUAGUAAUCGUGGAUCAGCAUGUCACGGUGAAUACGUUCCCGGGUCUU
rnacentral:rRNA from 1 species